GAUAAUUAUUAUUCUGCUAAAGUGGUAUCAACAUAAGGCACUUAAGUAAGCAUCGCCCAACAUACUUGUCAUAUUUGCUUUAAAAUAUGAAGCAUAAAUUUGUAUUAAUGACAUCACUUAAAAUAUUGAGACAAAUUGUUAUGAAGCAUAAUAGAAACAAUGUUUUUGCUUUUGUACCAGAUCAGAUUCUAAUUUGGCUUCCUUAAACAAUGUGAAAUACAAUAUUGGAGUUCUAUGUAUCUGUUAACACCAAACAAAAAGAGCCAGCAUUCGGAGGUUCAAACUGAGUUAAAAGUAUAUGCACAUGCAUAUUCAUACACAUA
rnacentral:lncRNA from 1 species